rnacentral:rRNA from 1 species
UACGUAGGGUGCGAGCGUUAAUCGGAAUUACUGGGCGUAAAGCGUGCGCAGGCGGUUAUGCAAGACAGAUGUGAAAUCUCCGGGCUCAACCCGGAAACUGCAUUGCGAACUGACCUGGCUGGAGUGCAGGAGAGGGCAGCGGAAUUCCCGGUGUAGCGGUGAAAUGCGUAGAUAUCGGGAAGAACACCAGUGGCGAAGGCGGCUGCCUGGCCUGUAACUGACGCUGAGACGCGAAAGCGUGGGGAGCGAACCGG